rnacentral:misc_RNA from 1 species
UCCGGUUUGUCACCGGCAGUCUCAUUAAAGUGCCCAACUGAAUGAUGGCAAUUAAUGACAAGGGUUGCGCUCGUUGCGGGACUUAACCCAACAUCUCACGACACGAGCUGACGACAGCCAUGCAGCACCUGUGUUCCCGUUCCCUUUCGGGCACAGCCCCCUUUCAGGGGCCUCCAGGACAUGUCAAGGGUAGGUAAGGUUUUUCGCGUUGCAUCGAAUUAAUCCACAUCAUCCACCGCUUGUGCGGGUCCCCGUCAAUUCCUUUGAGUUUUAAUCUUGCGACCGUACUCCCCAGGCGGUCUACUUCACGCGUUCGCUUCGACACAGUCAGGGUUGAGCCUAACUACAUCAAGUAUACAUCGUUUACGGCAAGGACUAC